rnacentral:rRNA from 1 species
GACAGAGGGGGCAAGCGUUGCUCGGAAUUACUGGGCGUAAAAGGCGCGUAGGCGGAAUGGCAAGUCGGUCGUGAAAUCCUUCGGCUCAACCGAAGAACGUCGAUCGAAACUGCCGUUCUUGAGGAUUGCAGAGGAGACUGGAAUUCCCGGUGUAGCGGUGAAAUGCGUAGAUAUCCGGAGGAACACCAGUGGCGAAGGCGACUUCCUGGCCUGUUCGUUGA